CAUACUGUGGUGAAUACGUUCCCGGGCCGUUGUACACACCGCCCGUCACACCAUGAGAGUUGAGAAUACCCGAAGCCCAUGUCAAAGUGGUCGAAGGUAGGCUUGAUGAUUGGGGUGAAGUCGUAACAAGGUAUC
rnacentral:rRNA from 1 species